CCUACGGGCGGCAGCAGUGGGGAAUAUUGGACAAUGGGGGCAACCCUGAUCCAGCCAUGCCGCGUGUGUGAAGAAGGCCCUCGGGUUGUAAAGCACUUUCAGUGAGGAAGAACGCCUGGUGGUUAAUACCCAUCAGGAAAGACAUCACUCACAGAAGAAGCACCGGCUAACUCCGUGCCAGCAGCCGCGGUAAUACGGAGGGUGCGAGCGUUAAUCGGGAUUACUGGGCGUAAAGCGCGCGUAGGUGGCUUGAUAAGCCGGUUGUGAAAGCCCCGGGCUCAACCUGGGAACGGCAUCCGGAACUGUCAAGCUAGAGUGCAGGAGAGGAAGGUAGAAUUCCCGGUGUAGCGGUGAAAUGCGUAGAGAUCGGGAGGAAUACCAGUGGCGAAGGCGGCCUUCUGGACUGACACUGACACUGAGGUGCGAAAGCGUGGGUAGCAAACAGGAUUAGAUACCCUGGUAGUC
rnacentral:rRNA from 1 species